rnacentral:rRNA from 1 species
GGUGAACGCUGGCGGCGUGCCUAACACAUGCAAGUCGAGCGAGAUUUAUGCAAGUGGAGACUUCGGUCAAAGCGAACAUAAUGAAAGCGGCGGACGGGUGAGUAACGCGUGAGCAAUCUGCCCCAUACAAAGGGAUACCCACUGGAAACGGUGAUUAAUACCUUAUAAGACCACAGAGCCGCAUGGUUCGGGGGGCAAAGAUUUAUCGGUAUGGGAUGAGCUCGCGUCUGAUUAGCUAGUUGGUGAGGUAAUGGCUCACCAAGGCGACGAUCAGUAGCCGACCUGAGAGGGUGAACGGCCACACUGGAACUGAGACACGGUCCAGACUCCUACGGGAGGCAGCAGUGGGGAAUAUUGCACGGUGGGCGCAAGCCUGAUGCAGCAACGCCGCGUGAAUGAUGAAGGCCUUCGGGUCGUAAAGUUCUGUCCUAAGGGAAGAAUACAGUGACGGUACCUUAGGAGGAAGCCCCGGCUAACUACGUGCCAGCCGCCGCGGUAAUAC